UAGCGAUCUGGUUGCCCCUUCCUCCCCUGCAUUUGAUGCCCACGAUGAAGAGAAAAGUAUGUACAUGAGCACCAGUAGUUGUAUGAAAGAACAAGGCAACCAAUGGGUUUCUUUGAAUAUCAGGUUUAAGAAUUUAUUCUGAGGAAAACAGCAGAGGUGUGGUGCCCUUUCUAUAGGGAAGGGGCUAGCGGCCUGAUUGCCAGGCUUCCUCUCUGUCUUUGGGAGGUCACUUACCUUCUGUGCCCAUCUCCAUGUCUGGAAAUGGAGAUCUUACUUAGCAUCUCACAGGAGGCUGUGAACAUUAUUUAGGAAAUAUUUGUACAGCACUUGGAAUAGUUAGAGGCUUCUGAAAGCAUAGUUUCGGCUGGUUAGCCCUGAAGGUGGUAUGCUUCAGGGUGAGUUGUCUGGUUUCGGUGUUGUAGCAAAUCCUGCUCAUUUCUUGCUAGUCCAAAUCUGUGUUUUUUGGUGCUGAGGCACAGCCAGAAGCACAGACUCCAGGGGUAGUAAGAAAAUGAAAUGCAGCUCACCUUCUCAGCCAUUGCUCCUUUUGGUUUUCUUAUGGAGAAAAGGGAGUAAACAAAUGGAUAGCGGCAGUCCCUUUAGACCCUGAAUUUGAAUGUACAUGUUACAGAAAAAACAAUGUGCUCUCUAAUUUGCUGUUACGGAUAUAAACAAGCAGUCCACAUAGCCCAUAGUACUGCACCAUCCUGUGUGCGCGUGGCAUGAUUAGGCUGGGUUUCUUCACAUACUUCUCUGUCUGGAGAGCUGCUAUUAAUACCUACUCUCUCCAGGCACUUCUGUCCCCCAGGAGAGUUCUUGGAGCCCCAAGAGCUGACUUCUCCUUUUCUUGAGCUGACUGGCUGAGUGUAGCUUACUGUACAGGUGAUGGCUUUCACUCAAGGCUGAAAUGGGCUGGGGGGAGAUAGGGGACAGGGAAUCCUCUAUCUCUGCAUCCCUUAUUUGCCUGAAGAGAGGUGCUCCUGCAGGCUGCCUGCAGUGGCAGCACCUGAUGUCUUAGCUGUACCCUGGUGUGCUUAAAUUUUUAAUUCUGUGGCAGGAGGCUUUCUUAUUCCUAUAUGCAUCAAGUCUGUGCUAGCUCUGGAGCCCGAAUAACCCAGCUGUUUCUUUUCUCUGAAUUUGAGUUGGAGGGAAUCCUGUGGCAGUUUGUUUUCCUUUUAAAUCACCUGGAAAACCAGUCCCCUUGGCUUUUUCCCUGGGCCUUCUAGAGGGGCCACGAGUCCCCUGUCCCCCUGACUCCAGGCAGCAUUCAGGGUGAUUCUGCUGUGAAACUGUCCUGAGACCCUGACAAGUGAAACUUGAGUGAGCCCUAGAGCAACUCCCUGGAGUUCUUGGAGCCCUUGUGGCAAACGCUUCCUGAGCCAUUGCCCAGUGUGUUGUCACUAGCCUUCUCCUUCUGACUGGCUGCAAGAGGGUGAUUCUGUGGAAGGAAAGGGAUCCUACUUGGAAAGCUUGGGUUGUUUUCAAGGAACAGGCUUGGUUGGAUUAUUUGCUAACUCCAGAGCCAUCCCCUUUCUCUGGGAA